UGGUACUCAAUUUCAUUCUGAAAGUAAAUCUUGCCAAUGUAAACCUUCAAAAUAAGUGCUAAGGAGAUGCCGGCAUAGAGCUCCAGCUGAAUAGAGUCUAACUGGAGAGGGAAAUAAGAUCCUGUGGCAGAAAUACAUUUUAUAGAUGAUGAUAUUGGUGGGUGUGAUGAUACUGAUUAAUUAGUACAAAGUUCAAAGCUGAAGACUGGAGAUCAGUGUGAAAGGGCUUUGUUAAAAAUGCUAUCUAACAUGUAUGUAGGCGAUGGAGGUUAACAAGAAGCUGACCAAAAUACUGAAAAAGGGGAAAAGCUAGUGAAGAUGUCCAUAGAAGGCUUUGAAAAGCUAUAGCAUAUUAUUGAAGACAUAAGAGUUUUUGCACAUGUGCAGGGCAAUGUGCAAACCCAGGAAAGACCUAACUCACGUUAAAGCCUACCAGGCCCUUCUGUCCAUGAGAUUUUCCAGGCACGAAUACUGGAGUGGGUGGCCAUUUCCUUCUCCAGCAGAUUUUCUGACUCAGGGAUGGAACUGUGUCUCCAUUAGCAGACGGAUUCUUUACCACUAAGCCACCUGGGAAGCCCAUUGUAAUGACUAUUUGCAUUGUAUUUUAAGGCAUACAGUGCUAAUCAUGAUAGCACUUAUGGUGGUCCUAAGUAUGAAAACAAGCACUCUGUUUCCUUCAGGUUCUAUUGUACAUUGGUAAGUUGGCCAAAUGUCCCCUGACUCAAUGUUUAGAACUUCCAGGAAUCAGAAUUUUUUUUUCCACCUAGGACAGAGAUCAGAAAUUUCACUGUUCUCCAGAAUAUUAUAACUUUAUUUUCCUCAAUGACCAAACUCAAAAGGGAGGUAGGAAUGUCUAAUUCAGAACUACUGAGACUGCUCUUCUCAGUUCCACAGCUCUUUAAUCAGGGUGCUUAAAGAGUGUGAAAUGACUUGUUUCGGGACAUUUUGCGGCUGCGGCUUCACGUUUUUCCCGCCCUUAUGUCAACAGUACCCCACUCCCAUCUCCCAACAGUGCCUUCUGAAUAAGCUAACCUGCUUUUAUUUUUUUGUGACUAGAUUUGUUAAUUAAAAUUUUAAACAAGGAUAAAAGAGAAAGCUCAUAUGUGUAUGCUCCUUUCAGAAGAGUGCUAUCCACCAGAUCUUCACUCACACUUUCCA
ensembl:lncRNA